rnacentral:rRNA from 1 species
UACGGGGGGGGUAAGCGUUGUUCGGAAUUACUGGGCGUAAAGGGCUCGUAGGCGGCCAACUAAGUCGGACGUGAAAUCCCUCAGCUUAACUGGGGAACUGCGUCCGAUACUGGAUGGCUUGGAUUUGGGAGAGGGAUGCGGAAUUCCAGGUGUAGCGGUGAAAUGCGUAGAUAUCGAGAGGAACACCAGUGGCGAAGGCGAGUCUCUGGACAUUUCCUGACGCUGAGGCACGAAAGCCAGGGGAGCAAACGGG